rnacentral:rRNA from 1 species
CCUACGGGGUGCAGCAGUGAGGAAUAUUGGUCAAUGGACGAGAGUCUGAACCAGCCAAGUAGCGUGAAGGAUGACUGCCCUAUGGGUUGUAAACUUCUUUUAUAAAGGAAUAAAACGAGGCACGUGUGCCUUUUUGCAUGUACUUUAUGAAUAAGGAUCGGCUAACUCCGUGCCAGCAGCCGCGGUAAUACGGAGGAUCCGAGCGUUAUCCGGAUUUAUUGGGAUUAAAGGGAGCGUAGAUGGGUUGUUAAGUCAGUUGUGAAAGUUUGCGGCUCAACCGUAAAAUUGCAAUUGAUACUGGCAGUCGUGAGUACAGUUGAGGUAGGCGGAAUUCGUGGUGUAGCGGUGAAAUGCUUAGAUAUCACGAAGAACCCCGAUUGCGAAGGCAGCUUACUAAACUGUGACUGACAUUGAUGCUCGAAAGUGUGGGUAUCAAACAGGAUUAGAUACCCGGGUAGUG